UACGAAGGGUGCAAACGUUGCUCGGAAUUAUUGGGCGUAAAGCGCACGUAGGCGGCUUUGCAAGUCGGAUGUGAAAUCCCUCGGCUUAACCAAGGAAGUGCAUCCGAAACUGCAGAGCUUGAGUACUUAAGAGGAUCGCGGAAUUCCCGGUGUAGAGGUGAAAUUCGUAGAUAUUGGGAGGGACACCAGCGGCGAAGGCGGCACUCUGGGCUGGUACUGACGCUGAGGAGCGAAAGCGUGGGUAGCGAACAGG
rnacentral:rRNA from 1 species